GCUCGUAGUUGAAAUUCGAAUUAGCUGAUAGAGGGCUUAGGCUAUCUAGCAGUUGGUUCUCCGUCUACAAUCCCUCUUGGGCUUCAGGGUUGCAGAGGGCUGAGUAGACAAUUUACCUUGAAAAAAUUAGAGUGUUCCAGGCAGGUUUUCGCCGGAAUACAUUAGCAUGGAAUAAUGGAAUAGGACUUAGGUCUUUUGUUGGUUUUAGGAUCUGAGUAAUGAUUAAUAGGGACAGAUGGGGGCAUUAGUAUUUAAUUGUCAGAGGUGAAAUUCUUGGAUUUAUUAAAGACUAACUUAUGCGAAAGCAUUUGCCAAGGAUGUUUU
rnacentral:rRNA from 1 species